CGAACGUCUCUACAGAUGCGGACGGUUGGUAACAGAGGCCUGGUUUCCUCAGUCUACUGCAGCCUCUGGUGUGCUACUCAGAGCGGUCCUUCUCUUUUCCCUCUCAUCUUACCCUCUGAGAAAAUCCCUCGCAAUGGGCCCGUCACCGUUGGGUGCUUAGCCAAGGAUGUCCCACCCGCCUUGGUCAGGUUCACCUGGGAGGACCAUAACAACGGCAGCAUCAACUCAAGCUCCAUCAAGCAAUACCCAACUGUCGGCAACUCUGCUGGGACUUUCACUGCAAGCUCCCAGAUGACCGUUUCGGCUGAAGAUUGGGAGAAUUUUCAACCAUUCUACUGCAAGGCUGAGAACGUCAAUGGUUCGGCACGGAUCGUCCGCCGGGCUGCACAAACAGAGCCUAAGUUGAUCAUCCGUGGACCACGACAACAAGAUUUUAAGAAUCCCAACAAAAACGCCAACAUUGUCUGCGUCGGUUCUCACAUGCAUGAUGCAAGCACUACCGUCCAGUGGCUAAAGGAUGGAAACAUACUGGACUCUGGCUUCACCACCACUGGCUCGGCCGCUGCGGGGUGUGGAGGCUACAGCGUCGUCAGCGAGCUUGCCGUCAGUAAGGCCGACUGGAGCGCGGACAAAAAAUUCUCCUGCAGGGUACACAACAAGAUGUUCAGCCGCACUGAGAACAUCAGCAGCUCCAUGAUUUGUGACUCAGAUUGUCCAGGAGACAUUGUGGAGGUCCACGUGGAGACCAUCCCACCAUCCUUCGUUGAUAUUUACCUGACCAAGUCAGCCAAUCUGACCUGCAGAAUCUCCAACUUACCUGAGGAGGAGGAUCUGAAAGAGCUGCAUGUCACCUGGACAAGGGUAUCUGACAAGAAGGAGCUGGAUACUGUAAUUGGACAGGUGAAGAGGCAAGAAAACAGUGAGAUGUUUUUUGUGGAUGCCACAGCCACAAUUUGCAAAGAGGAGUGGGACAAGGAUGCCUUUGAGUGCAAAGUUACUCACCACCUUCUUCCUGCAGCUGAAAUAAAGACACUGAGAAAGCUUCACGGUGGGACUCCCCAUGCCCCCGCUGUCUACGUCCUCCCCCCGCCCUCCGAACAGCUGGCUCUGCAGGAAACGGCCACCAUCACCUGCCUGGUGAAAGGAUUCUACCCCAACGACUUCUUUGUGAAAUGGAUGAGGAACGAUGAGCCCGUGGGACCUUCAGAGUACUUCACCAGCCAACCCAUACAGGAGUCCAAGACGCCCGAGCGGUACUUCGCCUACAGCACGUUGAACGUCAAAGAGCAGGACUGGAGCUAUGGAGCCACUUACACCUGCGUGGUGGGACACGAGGCGUUUCCCCUCCAGAUGUCUCAGAAGACCCUGGACAAGAACACGGGUAAACCCACCCUUGUCAACGUCUCCCUAGUGCUCUCCGACAUCGCCUCCAGUUGCCACUAAUCAAUGCUGCCCUGUCUGUUGGUCACCCUCCAUCUCUCUGUUUCCACCAGCAUCCUUCUCUUGCUGCGUGUCCUUCCAUCCAAUUACUAUACCUUUAUUAUUGCUACUGGGGAGCAAUUUUGGAAUCCUAAGAGGAUGCAUCUUAGCCAUGAAGUCGCUUCUGGUUUGCAUCUUUUCAAAAAAAUAACCACCAUUUGCAAUAAAGUAUGUUUUUUAAACCAA